CACGUAGGCACCAAGCGUUGUCCGGAUUUAUUGGGCGUAAAGAGCUCGUAGGCGGUUCGGUAAGUCGGAUGUGAAAACUUUGGGCUCAACCCAAAGCGUGCAUUCGAUACUGCCGUGACUAGAGUUCGGUAGGGGAGUGGGGAAUUCCUAGUGUAGCGGUGAAAUGCGCAGAUAUUAGGAGGAACACCGGUGGCGAAGGCGCCAACUCUGGGCCGAAAACUGACGCUGAGGAGCGAAAAGCGUGGGGUAGCAAAACAGG
rnacentral:rRNA from 1 species